CCUGGCGGCCUUAGCGCGGUGGUCCCACCUGACCCCAUACCGAACUCAGAAGUGAAACGCCGUAGCGCCGAUGGUAGUGUGGGGUUUCCCCAUGCGAGAGUAGGGAACUGCCAGGC
rnacentral:rRNA from 1 species